rnacentral:lncRNA from 1 species
ACGUAUGACAACCUAAGCUUGUUGACUAGCUAUACAAGCAAAAUCACAAAGAACACUACAUACAAACCUACAUCAACAAACGAUCUAGGGGGCAUAUAACCUACAACCACAAACAAAAACACUAGAGAAUCCAAGGCGACCAGGGCACUAACGUCACUGAAACACGAUCCAGCAUGUACGAAAUUAGUAGCUGCCCAUGACAACAAAUCAACUGAAAGGACGAAAAAAAACAUGAAUCUUGGGACGCAGGACGGAC